UAAACACUAGAACGCUCGAUGGCGGCGAAGACAGCUCGCCGUAGAAACGCUGCAUUCGGUGAAGAUUCUACUAAAAACACCGUAGGCGAUUUGUUAAAACAAAAAAAAAAAUCCGGGAAAGAAAUCUAGAACUCGAAACACUGCUCUCGUGAAAGGAAGACCCCUUAUAAAGAUAUUGUUGCUGGCUCUUCUACCAUAGUCACCUCAGUGGAUGGACGUAAUCGUAUUCCAGGACACCAUCCUGAAGCGAAUUGUUGCUGGCAAUGGAAGGAUCAAACAAGUCCGCAUUGUCGAAAACAGUAUGGAAGGAACCUGUAAGCGGUGUGAAAGGUCACGAUCAAACAAG